UACGUAGGUGACAAGCGUUGUCCGGAUUUAUUGGGCGUAAAGCGAGCGCAGGCGGCUCUUUAAGUCUGAUGUGAAAGCCCACGGCUCAACCGUGGAACGGCAUUGGAAACUGGAGAGCUUGAAUGUAGAAGAGGAAAGUGGAAUUCCAUGUGUAGCGGUGGAAUGCGUAGAUAUAUGGAGGAACACCAGUGGCGAAGGCGACUUUCUGGUCUAUUAUUGACGCUGAGGCUCGAAAGCGUGGGGAGCGAACAGG
rnacentral:rRNA from 1 species